UUUCAGGGUAUAAGAAGAAAUCUAGGCUAUCCAUGGGCAUUCCCAGAAACAUCAAGGUUUGCUAAAAACAGAAAAUCGGAAGUAGAACAAAAAAAGCGGUGGGAAAAGCAUUUAAGACAUUGAGGCAAGCCGUGAGGAGUUUGUCAGUCUAAAGGUUGAGUAGAGGACCCUUAAGAAGAGGGAGACAAACAUUAAAUUUUCAACUUUCUGUAGUUUGAUAUAAUACUUUCCAAGUUCUAGGGUUUCAUUAAAACUUCACAAGCUUUUGGAUUUUUUAACAAAUAUUAGGGCUGUGCUUCAUGCUUGGGUUAAUAUGGGGUGAAUAGAAGGAACAGCUGGGGAAGAAGAGAUAAGAGACAGGUUCUCUAGUAGAAAUUAGGAGAAACGUAAGAAUCCUAUACAUCUGCGUAUAUUUGAGGAGUCUUUAGAGUUCACUGAAGUUCAUGGAUCGGACGUUAUAGCCAUUUUAAUGUAUUUUCAUUGUGACAGGAUUGACUUUAGAAGGCUUAAGAAUUUUGACGAAGAAAAAAGGGGAAAAAGAAGGCAU
rnacentral:lncRNA from 1 species